UUGGAUACUGGAAUGAAUGAUUUUACAUUUAAAAUUUUUCUUAAAUUUUAAAAUUUAUAACUUAGAGUUUAAGUAAAAAUACUUUAAAUAUAUUAAAAAGACGAUAAGACCCUAAAAGCUUUAAAUUAUUUUAAUUAAUCAAUAAAAUAAAAUUAGAUUUAAUUUUUUACUGGGGUAGUACUAUUAUUGGUUUAUUAAUUUUAAAUUUAUAAUUUUAUAUUCCUUAAAAUUAGGAUAUAAAUUAGUUACUUUAGGGAUAACAGCGCGAUAGUAUUGAAGAGAACGUAUCUAUAAUACUGAUUACGACCUCGAUGUUGAAUUAAUAAAUCUAUUUAAAGCAGUGUUUAAAAAAGAAGGUUUGUUCAACCUUUAAU
rnacentral:rRNA from 1 species